GUACUUGCUUCAGCAGUACAUAUACUAAAACAGGAAGGAUACAAAAGAGACUAGCAUGACCCCUGCACAAGGAUGACAUACAAAUUCAUGAAGUGUUCCAUUUUUUU
rnacentral:snRNA from 1 species